ensembl:lncRNA novel transcript, antisense to DENND4B
AGGCUGCAACUUUACCUUAGAGACGUUUUGGUCCCCAGGCAGCCGCCGUACCCCAGUCUCUCCAAACCGGGAUUCCCCUUUGGCCAUCUCUCAUUCUUUCAAUUCUAAAGAUGGAGACUGGCGAACGGCGAUGGGGUCUGCGGUGGGCGGUGUUUCGUCGCGACAGACUCUAGGAAAUUUCACGAUAGAACUAGCUUUAGGCGCUUGAGCCUUGCCGUCUUUUUGGGGUGUGGCCUGUCUCCGUCUGCCAAAGGCUUUGAGCUUCCUGGUGUUCAUCGUACCUCCGCUUGGUCCUGUCGUGACUAAACCACGACAGCAGGAAAAAAAAAAAAGCAGCUAGCCAAGUUGCUGAGGAAUUACGGUGUGCAGAGCCCUCGCAGCUCCUUCUCUUGGGAACUCCUGGUCUGGUUAGGUUCUCAGCGAGGAAACAGCCUCCCACCCCGCCCGAUUCCACCUAAUUAACUCAAGGGCCAGCUCCUUUUGCUGGCCUCCCUGCUUCCACGGAGCAGUUAGGCCCGCCUAAACUCAGCGAGCGUUUCUGGAGCACCUUGAGGAUAGGGACCAAGUAACAGAGUCCGGGUGUUAAGGUUAUGAUAGUAGUUAACGUUUUUGGAAAGAGACUGUGUCAGGCUCUGUGCUAAGAACUUUACAUGAAGUAUUUAUUCCUCAUGACUGUGAGCUCCUCUAGGACACUGAAAAAGCAUCCUAACAUGCUCAAGACAGGAUAGGAAAUGGUCCUCUGGCUUGAAAGACUCAGCAUCCAGAAGUAGUACCUCACUCUCCAUCCAGUGGUCACCCCCCAGAAAUGUGCUCUCCCUGUCUCACCAGGCCCUACCCACCUGCCUGGGAGCUGCCUGCCUCUUGAUGUGCUGACACCUGCUCCUGCUGCUGCUGCUGCUGCUGCUGCUGUUGCUGCUGCUGCUGCUGUUGCCGUUCUCUCAAGGGCUGGCGGAACUGAGCAGCCCCCAGGACAACAUUCCGGAGCUUGGCCCAGCGCAGACGCCCACCUGGUGUGCCAGACGGCCACUUGCUUUCCAACACAGCCUACCAAGCACAGUGCCCAUCAGGAUGGCCUACCUCGACACCCUAACCCUGCCUCAUACCCACUCCCUGUCUUGGAGCCCCAGGGACCGCCCUUCCCCUGCAGACAUCCUGUCUAGGACUGUCCGGCCAAUGGCUCAGCCAGGAACAAGAGCCCAGAAGAGACAGUAGGCAGCAGCUGCCUCCCAAGGGGCCUAGAAGAACCCAGAGGCAGUGGAGAAAAUUUGUACCCAGACCUUGCUGCUUAGAAAUAUAAAAUAUAUGGCUCUGAAGAAAUCAUUUCA